UCAUUUCUGCAGCAGAUAUUCUAAAAUUGGAACAAUACAGAAAAGAUUAGCAUUGUCUCUGCACAAGGAUGACAUGCAAAUUUUUU
ensembl:snRNA U6 U6 spliceosomal RNA